AGUGAACGCUGGCGGUAGGCCUAACACAUGCAAGUCGAACGGCAGCACAGUAAGAGCUUGCUCUUACGGGUGGCGAGUGGCGGACGGGUGAGGAAUACAUCGGAAUCUACUUUUUCGUGGGGGAUAACGUAGGGAAACUUACGCUAAUACCGCAUACGACCUACGGGUGAAAGCAGGGGAUCUUCGGACCUUGCGCGAUUGAAUGAGCCGAUGUCGGAUUAGCUAGUUGGCGGGGUAAAGGCCCACCAAGGCGACGAUCCGUAGCUGGUCUGAGAGGAUGAUCGGCCACACUGGAACUGAGACACGGUCCAGACUCCUGCGGGAGGCAGCAGUGGGGAAUAUUGGACAAUGGGCGCAAGCCUGAUCCAGCCAUACCGCGUGGGUGAAGGAGGCCUUCGGGUUGUAAAGCCCUUUUGUUGGGAAAGAAAAGCAGCAGGUUAAUACCCCGCUGUUCUGACGGUACCCAAAGAAUAAGCACCGGCUAACUUCGUG
rnacentral:rRNA from 1 species